UUCCUAACAUGGAGGCCGACUUACUGACUUCUAGGCUUCGGCCUACAAAGGUACGAAUCAUGACAGAGGCCCAAACAGCUGAAGGGCCACAGUUUGAGGAUGCCUGGUUUAUCAGCUAAUCUCUGAGACCUGUGAUCUCCUGCCUGCUCUUUCCUCUGCUCUAGAGAUGUGGGUUAAGUAUUUUCUGAAGCAGACUGUGGCAGUACGGCAAUCAGCAGCUCCAUUUGUCUUCAUAAAAUACAAUGGAAACAUACAAGAACAGUUGCCAUCACACCUUCAAGUAUCCACCUUUCCCUGCUUUCAAGUGAAUUGACAGGUCUGAAGUUUAUUGCUACUCGACUCCAAAAACAACGAUUUCUAGACACUUGAAAACCAAAAAAAAUCUGGUUAUUUUUUUGAAAUAGUCUUCAUUUGCCUUUCAGAAUAGGACAAUUGAGAUGUGUUAUAAAAGCCUGGUUAACAAUCUUCAAACCAUACUUGAUCUGGUAUUUGAAACACGUAGGGGUCAUAUCUUCCUGUGUUAACUUCUGUGCAGUUUGAUCUACAGGAAAGGUAGCCCUCUGUGUUUUGUUCCUUUCAGCAGUGAGAAAUGGAACUGCAAAAUUAUAUUUUCUGGUUAAUAUCAGCCAGCAUUUUGUGAUUCUUACCUACUCUAACCAAUUUAACCAUUUUUAGAAUUGAUAUUCAACUGCUUCAAAAAGAUGAGCUUAGGAAAGCCUUUUAAAAUAAUGGAAAGUAUAUGAAUCUAGUUCUUCUUAAUUCUGAAAUUUAUGGAUACUUUUUGAUCCUGUGUUUUUAUUAUAAGUUGCUUAUAGGGAUUGUUAUGGAUAAUGUGUUCCCGUGUUUCUAAUAUACUGUUAUGUGGCUAAACUUUACACAGAUUGAUUUAAAGACUGCAGUGUAUUUGUUUUGUUGUCUUAUAUCUAUUGCACAUGAUUUCAGGUAUCACUUACUGCCAAAAAAUUACAGCAUAAAGAUUACAAAAUAUGUAAAUAAAAACAUGUAUUGUUCUAGA